rnacentral:rRNA from 1 species
AUUGAACGCUGGCGGCAGGCUUAACACAUGCAAGUCGAGCGGGGGAAGGUAGCUUGCUACCGGACCUAGCGGCGGACGGGUGAGUAAUGCUUAGGAAUCUGCCUAUUAGUGGGGGACAACAUCUCGAAAGGGAUGCUAAUACCGCAUACGUCCUACGGGAGAAAGCAGGGGAUCUUCGGACCUUGAGCUAAUAGAUGAGCCUAAGUCGGAUUAGCUAGUUGGUGGGGUAAAGGCCUACCAAGGCGACGAUCUGUAGCGGGUCUGAGAGGAUGAGCCGCCACACUGGGACUGAGACACGGCCCAGACUCCUACGGGAGGCAGCAGUGGGGAAUAUUGGACAAUGGGGGGAACCCUGAUCCAGCCAUGCCGCGUGUGUGAAGAAGGCCUUAUGGUUGUAAAGCACUUUAAGCGAGGAGGAGGCUACUUUAGUUAAUACCUAGAGAUAGUGGACGUUACUCGCAGAAUAAGCACCGGCUAACUCUGUGCCAGCCGCCGCAGUAA